UCAAGACUACAAUUGAUGGCCUAAGCAUUGAGGAGACAAAGGAAAUGAGAAAGAGAGGACUAGCUGUUCCCCCUUUAACAAAACUUGCCAAGAAUGGUUAUUAUGGUAGUCUGGUGCCCAAGGUCAGAGAUGCUUUCCUCUCCUGUGAACUGGUUCGGAUAGACUGCAAGUGUCUUGAGAAGAGUGAUUACAAGAAAAUAGGCUGCAAACUCAGGCAAUUAUUUUCGCAAUGUCUAGUGAUGGUUAUACAGCAGCUGAAAAAUAUGGGCAAGAUGGGACUCUCCUUUUGUGUGUUUCAUAACUUAGUUGGCGUUUUAAAUUUUAGUCUCUUGAGUUAUUUAGUUGUCAGAUAUUUUCCAAUGUUGA